GUCCACGCAGUAAACGAUGAUCACUAGCUGUUUGCGAUACAGUGUAAGCGGCACAGCGAAAGCGUUAAGUGAUCCACCUGGGGAGUACGCCGGCAACGGUGAAACUCAAAGGAAUUGACGGGGGGCCCGCACAAGCGGAGGAACAUGUGGUUUAAUUCGAUGAUACGCGAGGAACCUUACCCGGGUUUGAACGCAUUCGGACCGAGGUGGAAACACCUUUUCUAGCAAUAGCCGUUUGCGAGGUGCUGCAUGGUUGUCGU
rnacentral:rRNA from 1 species